UACCCAAUUCUGAUCCUGACUAGCAGGUAAAACACACCUAACUUUGAUCCUGGCUAGCAGGUAAAACAAACCUAACUAUGAUCCUGACAAGCAGGUAAAACACACCUAACUCUGAAUCCUGACUAGCAGGUAAAACACACCUAUCUCUGAUCCUGGCUAGUAGGUAAAACACACCUAACUCAGAUCCUGACUAGCAGGUAAAACACAUCUAACUCUGAUCCUGGCUAGUAGGUAAAACACACCUAACUCUGAUCCUGACUAGCAGGUAAAACACACCUAACUCUGAUCUUGACUAGCAGGUAAAACACACCUAACUCUGAUCCUGACUAGCAGGUAAAACACACCUAACUCUGAUUCUGACUAGCAGGUAAAACACACCUAACUCUGAUCCUGACUAGCAGGUAAAACACACCUAACUCUGAUCCUGACUAGCAGGUAAAACACACCUAACUCUGAUCCUGACUAGCAGGUAAAACACACCUAACUCUGAUCCUGACUAGCAGGUAAAACACACCUAACUCUGAUUCUGACUAGCAGGUAAAACACACCUAACUCUGAUCCUGACUAGCAGGUAAAACACACCUAACUCUGAUUCUGACUAGCAGGUAAAACACACCUAACUCUGAUCCUGACUAGCAGGUACAACACACCUAACUCUGAUCCUGACUAGCAGGUAAAACACAUCUAACUCUGAAUCCUUACUAGCAGGUACAACACACCUAACUCUGAUCCUGACUAGCAGGUACAACACACCUAACACUGAUCCUGACUAGCAGGUAAAACACACCUAACUCUUUAGAUUAGAUUCCGUCUCUCACAGUUGAAGUGUACCUAUGAUAAAAAUUACAGACCUCUACAUGCUUUGUAAGUAGGAAAACCUGCAAAAUCGGCAGUGUUCUCCCCACUGUAACUCCGAUCCUAAAUAGCAAGUAAAACACACCUAACACUGAAUCCUGACUAGCAGGUAAAACACAUCUAACACUGAUCCUGACUAGCAGGUAAAACACACCUAACUCUGAUCCUGACUAGCAGGUAAAACACACCUAACUCUGAUCCUGACUAGCAGGUACAACACACCUAACUCUGAUCCUGACUAGCAGGUAAAACACAUCUAACUCUGAAUCCUUACUAGCAGGUACAACACACCUAACUCUGAUCCUGACUAGCAGGUACAACACACCUAACACUGAUCCUGACUAGCAGGUAAAACACACCUAACUCUGAUCCUGACUAGCAGGUAAAACACACCUAACACUGAAUUCUUACUAGCAGGUAAAACACACCUACCUCUGAUCCUGGCUAGUAGGUAAAACACACCUAACUCUGAUCCUGACUAGCAGGUAAAACACACCUACCUCUGAUCCUGGCUAGUAGGUAAAACACACCUAACUCUGAUCCUGGCUAGUAGGUAAAACACACCUAACUCCUGAUCCUGACUAGCAGGUAAAACACACCUAACUCUGAUCCUCACUAGCAGGUAAAACACACCUAACUCUGAUCCUGACUAACAGGUAAAACACACCUAACUCUGAUGCUGACUAGCAGGUAAAACACACCUAACUCUGAUCCUGACUAGCAGGUAAAACACACCUAACUCUGAUCCUGACUAGCAGGUAAAACACACCUAACUCUGACCCUGACUAGCAGGUAAAACACACCUAACUCUGACCCUGACUAGCAGGUAAAACACACCUAACUCUGACCCUGACUAGCAGGUAAAACACACCUAACUCUGACCCUGACUAGCAGGUAAAACACACCUAACUCUGAUCCUGACUAGCAGGUAAAACACUCCUAACUAGUAGGUAAAACACACCUAACUCUGAUCCUGGCUAGCAGGUAAAACACACCUAACUCUGAUCCUGACUAGCAGGUAAAACACACCUAACUCUGAUUCUGACUAGCAGGUAAAACACACCUAACUCUGAUCCUGACUAGCAGGUAAAACACACCUAACUCUGAUCCUGACUAGCAGGUAAAACACACCUAACUCUGAUCCUGACUAGCAGGUAAAACACACCUAACUCUGAUCCUGACUAGCAGGUAAAACACACCUAACUCUGAUUCUGACUAGCAGGUAAAACACACCUAACUCUGAUUCUGACUAGCAGGUAAAACACACCUAACUCUGAUCCUGACUAGCAGGUAAAACACACCUAACUCUGAUGCUGACUAGCAGGUAAAACACACCUAACUCUGAUUCUGACUAGCAGGUAAAACACACCUAACUCUGAUCCUGACUAGCAGGUAAAACACACCUAACUCUGAUCCUGACUAGCAGGUAAAACACACCUAACUCUGAUUCUGACUAGCAGGUAAAACACACCUAACUCUGAUCCUGACUAGCAGGUAAAACACACCUAACUCUGAUGCUGACUAGCAGGUAAAACACACCUAACUCUGAUCCUGACUAGCAGGUAAAACACACCUAACUCUGAUCCUGACUAGCAGGUAAAACACACCUAACUCUGACCCUGACUAGCAGGUAAAACACACCUAACUCUGACCCUGACUAGCAGGUAAAACACACCUAACUCUGACCCUGACUAGCAGGUAAAACACACCUAACUCUGACCCUGACUAGCAGGUAAAACACACCUAACUCUGAUCCUGACUAGCAGGUAAAACACACCUAACUCUGAUCCUAACUAGUAGGUAAAACACACCUAACUCUGAUCCUGGCUAGCAGGUAAAACACACCUAACUCUGAUCCUGACUAGCAGGUAAAACACACCUAACUCUGAUCCUGGCUAGCAGGUACAACACACCUAACACUGAUCCUGACUAGCAGGUAAAACACACCUAACUCUUUAGAUUAGAUUCCGUCUCUCACAGUUGAAGUGUACCUAUGAUAAAAAUUACAGACCUCUACAUGCUUUGUAAGUAGGAAAACCUGCAAAAUCGGCAGUGUUCUCCCCACUGUAACUCCGAUCCUAAAUAGCAAGUAAAACACACCUAACACUGAAUCGUGACUAGCAGGUAAAACACAUCUAACACUGAUCCUGACUAGCAGGUAAAACACACCUAACUCUGAUCCUGACUAGCAGGUAAAACACACCUAACUCUGAUCCUGACUAGCAGGUACAACACACCUAACUCUGAUCCUGACUAGCAGGUAAAACACAUCUAACUCUGAAUCCUUACCAGCAGGUAAAACACACCUACCUCUGAUCCUGGCUAGUAGGUAAAACACACCUAACUCUGAUCCUGACUAGCAGGUAAAACACACCUACCUCUGAUCCUGGCUAGUAGGUAAAACACACCUAACUCUGAUCCUGGCUAGUAGGUAAAACACACCUAACACUGAAUUCUUACUAGCAGGUAAAACACACCUACCUCUGAUCCUGGCUAGUAGGUAAAACACACCUACCUCUGAUCCUGGCUAGUAGGUAAAACACACCUAACUCCUGAUCCUGACUAGCAGGUAAAACACACCUAACUCUGAUCCUCACUAGCAGGUAAAACACACCUAACUCUGAUUCUGACUAACAGGUAAAACACACCUAACUCUGAUGCUGACUAGCAGGUAAAACACACCUAACUCUGAUCCUGACUAGCAGGUAAAACACACCUAACUCUGAUCCUGACUAGCAGGUAAAACACACCUAACUCUGACCCUGACUAGCAGGUAAAACACACCUAACUCUGACCCUGACUAGCAGGUAAAACACACCUAACUCUGACCCUGACUAGCAGGUAAAACACACCUAACUCUGACCCUGACUAGCAGGUAAAACACACCUAACUCUGAUCCUGACUAGCAGGUAAAACACACCUAACUCUGAUCCUGACUAGCAGGUACAACACACCUAACUCUGAUCCUGACUAGCAGGUAAAACACACCUAACUCUGAUUCUGACUAGCAGGUAAAACACACCUAACUCUGAUCCUGACUAGCAGGUAAAACACACCUAACUCUGAUCCUGACUAGCAGGUAAAACACACCUAACUCUGAUCCUGACUAGCAGGUAAAACACACCUAACUCUGAUCCUGACUAGCAGGUAAAACACACCUAACUCUGAUUCUGACUAGCAGGUAAAACACACCUAACUCUGAUCCUGACUAGCAGGUAAAACACACCUAACUCUGAUUCUGACUAGCAGGUAAAACACACCUAACUCUGAUCCUGACUAGCAGGUACAACACACCUAACUCUGAUCCUGACUAGCAGGUAAAACACAUCUAACUCUGAAUCCUUACUAGCAGGUACAACACACCUAACUCUGAUCCUGACUAGCAGGUACAACACACCUAACACUGAUCCUGACUAGCAGGUAAAACACACCUAACUCUUUAGAUUAGAUUCCGUCUCUCACAGUUGAAGUGUACCUAUGAUAAAAAUUACAGACCUCUACAUGCUUUGUAAGUAGGAAAACCUGCAAAAUCGGCAGUGUUCUCCCCACUGUAACUCCGAUCCUAAAUAGCAAGUAAAACACACCUAACACUGAAUCCUGACUAGCAGGUAAAACACAUCUAACACUGAUCCUGACUAGCAGGUAAAACACACCUAACUCUGAUCCUGACUAGCAGGUAAAACACACCUAACUCUGAUCCUGACUAGCAGGUACAACACACCUAACUCUGAUCCUGACUAGCAGGUAAAACACAUCUAACUCUAAAUCCUUACUAGCAGGUACAACACACCUAACUCUGAUCCUGACUAGCAGGUACAACACACCUAACACUGAUCCUGACUAGCAGGUAAAACACACCUAACUCUGAUCCUGACUAGCAGGUAAAACACACCUAACACUGAAUUCUUACUAGCAGGUAAAACACACCUACCUCUGAUCCUGGCUAGUAGGUAAAACACACCUAACUCUGAUCCUGACUAGCAGGUAAAACACACCUACCUCUGAUCCUGGCUAGUAGGUAAAACACACCUAACUCUGAUCCUGGCUAGUAGGUAAAACACACCUAACUCCUGAUCCUGACUAGCAGGUAAAACACACCUAACUCUGAUCCUCACUAGCAGGUAAAACACACCUAACUCUGAUCCUGACUAACAGGUAAAACACACCUAACUCUGAUGCUGACUAGCAGGUAAAACACACCUAACUCUGAUUCUGACUAGCAGGUAAAACACACCUAACUCUGAUCCUGACUAGCAGGUAAAACACACCUAACUCUGACCCUGACUAGCAGGUAAAACACACCUAACUCUGACCCUGACUAGCAGGUAAAACACACCUAACUCUGACCCUGACUAGCAGGUAAAACACACCUAACUCUGACCCUGACUAGCAGGUAAAACACACCUAACUCUGAUCCUGACUAGCAGGUAAAACACUCCUAACUAGUAGGUAAAACACACCUAACUCUGAUCCUGGCUAGCAGGUAAAUCACACCUAACUCUGAUCCUGACUAGCAGGUAAAACACACCUAACUCUGAUCCUGACUAGCAGGUAAAACACACCUAACUCUGAUUCUGACUAGCAGGUAAAACACACCUAACUCUGAUCCUGACUAGCAGGUAAAACACACCUAACUCUGAUCCUGACUAGCAGGUAAAACACACCUAACUCUGAUCCUGACUAGCAGGUAAAACACACCUAACUCUGAUCCUGACUAGCAGGUAAAACACACCUAACUCUGAUUCUGACUAGCAGGUAAAACACACCUAACUCUGAUCCUGACUAGCAGGUAAAACACACCUAACUCUGAUGCUGACUAGCAGGUAAAACACACCUAACUCUGAUUCUGACUAGCAGGUUAAACACACCUAACUCUGAUCCUGACUAGCAGGUAAAACACACCUAACUCUGAUCCUGACUAGCAGGUAAAACACACCUAACUCUGAUUCUGACUAGCAGGUAAAACACACCUAACUCUGAUCCUGACUAGCAGGUAAAACACACCUAACUCUGAUGCUGACUAGCAGGUAAAACACACCUAACUCUGAUCCUGACUAGCAGGUAAAACACACCUAACUCUGAUCCUGACUAGCAGGUAAAACACACCUAACUCUGACCCUGACUAGCAGGUAAAACACACCUAACUCUGACCCUGACUAGCAGGUAAAACACACCUAACUCUGAUCCUGACUAGCAGGUAAAACACACCUAACUCUUUAGAUUAGAUUCCGUCUCUCACAGUUGAAGUGUACCUAUGAUAAAAAUUACAGACCUCUACAUGCUUUGUAAGUAGGAAAACCUGCAAAAUCGGCAGUGUUCUCCCCACUGUAACUCCGAUCCUAAAUAGCAAGUAAAACACACCUAACACUGAAUCCUGACUAGCAGGUAAAACACACCUAACUCUGAUUCUGACUAGCAGGUAAAACACACCUAACUCUGAUCCUGACUAGCAGGUAAAACACACCUAACUCUGAUCCUGACUAGCAGGUAAAACACACCUAACUCUGAUCCUGACUAGCAGGUAAAACACACCUAACUCUGAUCCUGACUAGCAGGUAAAACACACCUAACUCUGAUUCUGACUAGCAGGUAAAACACACCUAACUCUGAUCCUGACUAGCAGGUAAAACACACCUAACUCUGAUUCUGACUAGCAGGUAAAACACACCUAACUCUGAUCCUGACUAGCAGGUACAACACACCUAACUCUGAUCCUGACUAGCAGGUAAAACACAUCUAACUCUGAAUCCUUACUAGCAGGUACAACACACCUAACUCUGAUCCUGACUAGCAGGUACAACACACCUAACACUGAUCCUGACUAGCAGGUAAAACACACCUAACUCUUUAGAUUAGAUUCCGUCUCUCACAGUUGAAGUGUACCUAUGAUAAAAAUUACAGACCUCUACAUGCUUUGUAAGUAGGAAAACCUGCAAAAUCGGCAGUGUUCUCCCCACUGUAACUCCGAUCCUAAAUAGCAAGUAAAACACACCUAACACUGAAUCCUGACUAGCAGGUAAAACACAUCUAACACUGAUCCUGACUAGCAGGUAAAACACACCUAACUCUGAUCCUGACUAGCAGGUAAAACACACCUAACUCUGAUCCUGACUAGCAGGUACAACACACCUAACUCUGAUCCUGACUAGCAGGUAAAACACAUCUAACUCUGAAUCCUUACUAGCAGGUACAACACACCUAACUCUGAUCCUGACUAGCAGGUACAACACACCUAACACUGAUCCUGACUAGCAGGUAAAACACACCUAACUCUGAUCCUGACUAGCAGGUAAAACACACCUAACACUGAAUUCUUACUAGCAGGUAAAACACACCUACCUCUGAUCCUGGCUAGUAGGUAAAACACACCUAACUCUGAUCCUGACUAGCAGGUAAAACACACCUAACACUGAAUUCUUACUAGCAGGUAAAACACACCUACCUCUGAUCCUGGCUAGUAGGUAAAACACACCUAACUCUGAUCCUGACUAGCAGGUAAAACACACCUAACUCUGAUCCUGGCUAGUAGGUAAAACACACCUAACUCCUGAUCCUGACUAGCAGGUAAAACACACCUAACUCUGAUCCUCACUAGCAGGUAAAACACACCUAACUCUGAUCCUGACUAACAGGUAAAACACACCUAACUCUGAUGCUGACUAGCAGGUAAAACACACCUAACUCUGAUCCUGACUAGCAGGUAAAACACACCUAACUCUGAUCCUGACUAGCAGGUAAAACACACCUAACUCUGACCCUGACUAGCAGGUAAAACACACCUAACUCUGACCCUGACUAGCAGGUAUAACACACCUAACUCUGACCCUGACUAGCAGGUAAAACACACCUAACUCUGACCCUGACUAGCAGGUAAAACACACCUAACUCUGAUCCUGAUUAGCAGGUAAAACACUCCUAACUAGUAGGUAAAACACACCUAACUCUGAUCCUGGCUAGCAGGUAAAACACACCUAACUCUGAUCCUGACUAGCAGGUAAAACACACCUAACUCUGAUCCUGACUAGCAGGUAAAACACACCUAACUCUGAUCCUGACUAGCAGGUAAAACACACCUAACUCUGACCCUGACUAGCAGGUAAAACACACCUAACUCUGACCCUGACUAGCAGGUAAAACACACCUAACUCUGACCCUGACUAGCAGGUAAAACACACCUAACUCUGACCCUGACUAGCAGGUAAAACACACCUAACUCUGAUCCUGACUAGCAGGUAAAACACACCUAACUCUGAUCCUAACUAGUAGGUAAAACACACCUAACUCUGAUCCUGGCUAGCAGGUAAAACACACCUAACUCUGAUCCUGACUAGCAGGUAAAACACACCUAACUCUGAUCCUGGCUAGCAGGUACAACACACCUAACACUGAUCCUGACUAGCAGGUAAAACACACCUAACUCUUUAGAUUAGAUUCCGUCUCUCACAGUUGAAGUGUACCUAUGAUAAAAAUUACAGACCUCUACAUGCUUUGUAAGUAGGAAAACCUGCAAAAUCGGCAGUGUUCUCCCCACUGUAACUCCGAUCCUAAAUAGCAAGUAAAACACACCUAACACUGAAUCGUGACUAGCAGGUAAAACACAUCUAACACUGAUCCUGACUAGCAGGUAAAACACACCUAACUCUGAUCCUGACUAGCAGGUAAAACACACCUAACUCUGAUCCUGACUAGCAGGUACAACACACCUAACUCUGAUCCUGACUAGCAGGUAAAACACACCUAACUCUGAUUCUGACUAGCAGGUAAAACACACCUAACUCUGAUCCUGACUAGCAGGUAAAACACACCUAACUCUGAUCCUGACUAGCAGGUAAAACACACCUAACUCUGAUUCUGACUAGCAGGUAAAACACACCUAACUCUGAUCCUGACUAGCAGGUAAAACACACCUAACUCUGAUGCUGACUAGCAGGUAAAACACACCUAACUCUGAUCCUGACUAGCAGGUAAAACACACCUAACUCUGAUCCUGACUAGCAGGUAAAUCACACCUAACUCUGACCCUGACUAGCAGGUAAAACACACCUAACUCUGACCCUGACUAGCAGGUAAAACACACCUAACUCUGACCCUGACUAGCAGGUAAAACACACCUAACUCUGACCCUGACUAGCAGGUAAAACACACCUAACUCUGAUCCUGACUAGCAGGUAAAACACACCUAACUCUGAUCCUAACUAGUAGGUAAAACACACCUAACUCUGAUCCUGGCUAGAAGGUAAAACACACCUAACUCUGAUCCUGACUAGCAGGUAAAACACACCUAACUCUGAUCCUGGCUAGCAGGUACAACACACCUAACACUGAUCCUGACUAGCAGGUAAAACACACCUAACUCUGAUCCUGACUAGCAGGUAAAACACACCUAACUCUGAUCCUGACUUGCAGGUAAAACACACCUAACUCUGAUUCUGACUAGCAGGUAAAACACACCUAACUCUGAUCCUGACUAGCAGGUAAAACACACCUAACUCUGAUGCUGACUAGCAGGUAAAACACACCUAACUCUGAUCCUGACUAGCAGGUAAAACACACCUAACUCUGAUCCUGACUAGCAGGUAAAACACACCUAACUCUGACCCUGACUAGCAGGUAAAACACACCUAACUCUGACCCUGACUAGCAGGUAAAACACACCUAACUCUGACCCUGACUAGCAGGUAAAACACACCUAACUCUGACCCUGACUAGCAGGUAAAACACACCUAACUCUGAUCCUGACUAGCAGGUAAAACACUCCUAACUAGUAGGUAAAACACACCUAACUCUGAUCCUGGCUAGCAGGUAAAACACACCUAACUCUGAUCCUGACUAGCAGGUAAAACACACCUAACUCUGAUCCUGACUAGCAGGUAAAACACACCUAACUCUGAUCCUGACUAGCAGGUAAAACACACCUAACUCUGAUUCUGACUAGCAGGUAAAACACACCUAACUCUGAUCCUGACUAGCAGGUAAAACACACCUAACUCUGAUGCUGACUAGCAGGUAAAACACACCUAACUCUGAUUCUGACUAGCAGGUAAAACACACCUAACUCUGAUGCUGACUAGCAGGUAAAACACACCUAACUCUGAUCCUGACUAGCAGGUAAAACACACCUAACUCUGAUUCUGACUAGCAGGUAAAACACACCUAACUCUGAUCCUGACUAGCAGGUAAAACACACCUAACUCUGAUGCUGACUAGCAGGUAAAACACACCUAACUCUGAUCCUGACUAGCAGGUAAAACACACCUAACUCUGAUCCUGACUAGCAGGUAAAACACACCUAACUCUGACCCUGACUAGCAGGUAAAACACACCUAACUCUGACCCUGACUAGCAGGUAAAACACACCUAACUCUGACCCUGACUAGCAGGUAAAACACACCUAACUCUGACCCUGACUAGCAGGUAAAACACACCUAACUCUGACCCUGACUAGCAGGUAAAACACACCUAACUCUGAUCCUGACUAGCAGGUAAAACACACCUAACUCUGAUCCUAACUAGUAGGUAAAACACACCUAACUCUGAUCCUGGCUAGCAGGUAAAACACACCUAACUCUGAUCCUGACUAGCAGGUAAAACACACCUAACUCUGAUCCUGGCUAGCAGGUACAACACACCUAACACUGAUCCUGACUAGCAGGUAAAACACACCUAACUCUUUAGAUUAGAUUCCGUCUCUCACAGUUGAAGUGUACCUAUGAUAAAAAUUACAGACCUCUACAUGCUUUGUAAGUAGGAAAACCUGCAAAAUCGGCAGUGUUCUCCCCACUGUAACUCCGAUCCUAAAUAGCAAGUAAAACACACCUAACACUGAAUCCUGACUAGCAGGUAAAACACAUCUAACACUGAUCCUGACUAGCAGGUAAAACACACCUAACUCUGAUCCUGACUAGCAGGUAAAACACACCUAACUCUGAUCCUGACUAGCAGGUACAACACACCUAACUCUGAUCCUGACUAGCAGGUAAAACACAUCUAACUCUGAAUCCUUACUAGCAGGUACAACACACCUACCUCUGAUCCUGACUAGCAGGUACAACACACCUAACACUGAUCCCGACUAGCAGGUAAAACACACCUAACUCUGAUCCUGACUAGCAGGUAAAACACACCUAACACUGAAUUCUUACUAGCAGGUAAAACACACCUACCUCUGAUCCUGGCUAGUAGGUAAAACACACCUAACUCUGAUCCUGACUAGCAGGUAAAACACACCUACCUCUGAUCCUGGCUAGUAGGUAAAACACACCUAACUCUGAUCCUGGCUAGUAGGUAAAACACACCUAACUCCUGAUCCUGACUAGCAGGUAAAACACACCUAACUCUGAUCCUCACUAGCAGGUAAAACACACCUAACUCUGAUCCUGACUAACAGGUAAAACACACCUAACUCUGACCCUGACUAGCAGGUAAAACACACCUACCUCUGAUCCUGGCUAGUAGGUAAAACACACCUAACUCUGAUCCUGGCUAGUAGGUAAAACACACCUAACUCCUGAUCCUGACUAGCAGGUAAAACACACCUAACUCUGAUCCUCACUAGCAGGUAAAACACACCUAACUCUGAUCCUGACUAACAGGUAAAACACACCUAACUCUGAUGCUGACUAGCAGGUAAAACACACCUAACUCUGAUCCUGACUAGCAGGUAAAACACACCUAACUCUGAUCCUGACUAGCAGGUAAAACACACCUAACUCUGACCCUGACUAGCAGGUAAAACACACCUAACUCUGACCCUGACUAGCAGGUAAAACACACCUAACUCUGACCCUGACUAGCAGGUAAAACACACCUAACUCUGACCCUGACUAGCAGGUAAAACACACCUAACUCUGAUCCUGACUAGCAGGUAAAACACUCCUAACUAGUAGGUAAAACACACCUAACUCUGAUCCUGGCUAGCAGGUAAAACACACCUAACUCUGAUCCUGACUAGCAGGUAAAACACACCUAACUCUGAUCCUGACUAGCAGGUAAAACACACCUAACUCUGAUCCUGACUAGCAGGUAAAACACACCUAACUCUGAUCCUGACUAGCAGGUAAAACACACCUAACUCUGAUCCUGACUAGCAGGUAAAACACACCUAACUCUGAUUCUGACUAGCAGGUAAAACACACCUAACUCUGAUCCUGACUAGCAGGUAAAACACACCUAACUCUGAUGCUGACUAGCAGGUAAAACACACCUAACUCUGAUGCUGACUAGCAGGUAAAACACACCUACCUCUGAUCCUGGCUAGUAGGUAAAACACACCUAACUCUGAUCCUGACUAGCAGGUAAAACACACCUACCUCUGAUCCUGGCUAGUAGGUAAAACACACCUAACUCUGAUCCUGGCUAGUAGGUAAAACACACCUAACUCCUGAUCCUGACUAGCAGGUAAAACACACCUAACUCUGAUCCUCACUAGCAGGUAAAACACACCUAACUCUGAUCCUGACUAACAGGUAAAACACACCUAACUCUGACCCUGACUAGCAGGUAAAACACACCUACCUCUGAUCCUGGCUAGUAGGUAAAACACACCUAACUCUGAUCCUGGCUAGUAGGUAAAACACACCUAACUCCUGAUCCUGACUAGCAGGUAAAACACACCUAACUCUGAUCCUCACUAGCAGGUAAAACACACCUAACUCUGAUCCUGACUAACAGGUAAAACACACCUAACUCUGAUGCUGACUAGCAGGUAAAACACACCUAACUCUGAUCCUGACUAGCAGGUAAAACACACCUAACUCUGAUCCUGACUAGCAGGUAAAACACACCUAACUCUGACCCUGACUAGCAGGUAAAACACACCUAACUCUGACCCUGACUAGCAGGUAAAACACACCUAACUCUGACCCUGACUAGCAGGUAAAACACACCUAACUCUGACCCUGACUAGCAGGUAAAACACACCUAACUCUGAUCCUGACUAGCAGGUAAAACACUCCUAACUAGUAGGUAAAACACACCUAACUCUGAUCCUGACUAGCAGGUAAAACACACCUACCUCUGAUCCUGGCUAGUAGGUAAAACACACCUAACUCCUGAUCCUGACUAGCAGGUAAAACACACCUAACUCUGAUCCUCACUAGCAGGUAAAACACACCUAACUCUGAUCCUGACUAACAGGUAAAACACACCUAACUCUGAUGCUGACUAGCAGGUAAAACACACCUAACUCUGAUCCUGACUAGCAGGUAAAACACACCUAACUCUGAUCCUGACUAGCAGGUAAAACACACCUAACUCUGACCCUGACUAGCAGGUAAAACACACCUAACUCUGACCCUGACUAGCAGGUAAAACACACCUAACUCUGACCCUGACUAGCAGGUAAAACACACCUAACUCUGACCCUGACUAGCAGGUAAAACACACCUAACUCUGACCCUGACUAGCAGGUAAAACACACCUAACUCUGAUCCUGACUAGCAGGUAAAACACACCUAACUCUGAUCCUAACUAGUAGGUAAAACACACCUAACUCUGAUCCUGGCUAGCAGGUAAAACACACCUAACUCUGAUCCUGACUAGCAGGUAAAACACACCUAACUCUGAUCCUGACUAGCAGGUAAAACACACCUAACUCUGAUUCUGACUAGCAGGUAAAACACACCUAACUCUGAUCCUGACUAGCAGGUAAAACACACCUAACUCUGAUCCUGACUAGCAGGUAAAACACACCUAACUCUGAUCCUGACUAGCAGGUAAAACACACCUAACUCUGAUCCUGACUUGCAGGUAAAACACACCUAACUCUGAUUCUGACUAGCAGGUAAAACACACCUAACUCUGAUCCUGACUAGCAGGUCAAACACACCUAACUCUGAUGCUGACUAGCAGGUAAAACACACCUAACUCUGAUUCUGACUAGCAGGUAAAACACACCUAACUCUGAUCCUGACUAGCAGGUGUGUAUGAACGUUCCAGACUUUGGAAGAACAACUGACGCAAACAUAAACAUCUCACUUUCAUCUCAAGUGUAAAUAACAUGUCUCUGUGUGUGUGUGUGUGUGUGUGUGUGUGUGUGUGUGUGUGUGUGUGUGUGUGUGUGUGUGUGUGUGUGUGUGUGUGUGUGUGUGUGUGUGUGU